AAUUCUUUCCAAACUUGUUUG
rnacentral:misc_RNA from 1 species